rnacentral:lncRNA from 1 species
AUGAGCAAUAAAACAGAAUUCGUACAGUUUUCACAAACACACAAUCAAGUUAAUUUCCACAUUAAAGUGGUCAUUCUAAGAGAUAAACAGAAUUACUAUACCAUGAAUGGGAUGGCCAAAUACAGACAACACACUUUUGCAUAUACACAUUAUUGUUCUAACUUCACAUUGUGCAUCAAAUUUCAUAUAAUCACCUCAAAUCAAAAUUCAUCUUUGACACUCUCCCUCUUUAUAUUUUGGAAAUUUCUUAGUAGGCUAGUCAAGUGAAGCAGUGGGAGUGGAGAAGGAACAAAGAAAUCUGUAACUGGUUGUGAUCAAUUAGUUGUAAACACCACUGCACUCGGACCAGCCAGAUUUAUUUCUUUUACUUAGCUUGUCCUACACUGAUACUUGUCUUGCUCACCUGGGAGAUCCAGGUUGCCAGUUUCUCGUGUCUAAGAAUCUUUCUCCUCAUCUUACUCAGAAUUGCCUAAAUCUGUUUUCUUCAUAUCUCCUAUGGGUUUUGGAAUCAUUGAGAACAAAAAAAUAAUCUCACCACUCUUUUUCUACUACCAAAGUAUGACAAAUAGUUUGCAAUUACUUUGGACUAUCUAAUCAUAUAGGGAAGAGCACUGUGUUCAUAAGGACAAGAUCACCAGUUUGAUUACUUAAUUUCACCAAACAAAAGUUAUUUUCCACCGUCAAGUAUUAACCCUGCUCUCAGAUGUCACUGACACAUGGCUCACCAGGUGGCUGCACAGGGCAUCUGGCUGGGCUCAUUUUAAAGUAAUGGCAGUAUAAAAAAAAGACAAGACAUUGUGUAUGUUCUACAUGAGUCACACACAAACCACAGAGCACUUUCAGGAUGCCAGGUAUUUCUGGACAAAGCUAAAUUAUGGAGAGGCCCACUGACAUAGAAGAUCAACACUUUUGAAAAACACAAUUACCCUAUGUUCAAAUUCCAGCUCUGUCACUUAGUUGCUAUGAGAGCUUAUGAAAGUGGCAGUUACUUGACCUCACAGUUCCUUAUCUCUAAAAUAGGCAUAGUAUUUUUCACAUAGUUAUCUAGAAAUAUCCUCCAAUCCAGUUGGCCAGCCAACAUAAAUAUUUAAUACAUGAUCCUAUUAGUGGCAGUAGUCAUGACCAAUGCUAU